GAGUUUGAUCCUGGCUCAGAUUGAACGCUGGCGGCAUGCUUUACACAUGCAAGUCGAACGGCAGCACAGGGAGCUUGCUCCUGGGUGGCGAGUGGCGAACGGGUGAGUAAUGUAUCGGAACGUGCCUGGUAGUGGGGGAUAACUACUCGAAAGAGUGGCUAAUACCGCAUGAGAUCUUUGGAUGAAAGCGGGGGACCUUCGGGCCUCGCGCUACUGGAGCGGCCGAUAUCAGAUUAGGUUGUUGGUGGGGUAAAGGCCUACCAAGCCUGCGAUCUGUAGCUGGCCUGAGAGGACGACCAGCCACACUGGGACUGAGACACGGCCCAGACUCCUACGGGAGGCAGCAGUGGGGAAUUUUGGACAAUGGGCGCAAGCCUGAUCCAGCAAUGCCGCGUGCAGGAUGAAGGCCUUCGGGUUGUAAACUGCUUUUGUACAGAACGAAAAGUCUCUGGCUAAUAUCUGGGGAUCAUGACGUACUUAAGAAUAAGCACCG
rnacentral:rRNA from 1 species